GAUGAACGCUGACAGAAUGCUUAACACAUGCAAGUCUUUGGUGAAGCUGUGCUUGCACAGCCUAGCCAAGGCGGACGGGUGAGUAACGCGUAAGGAACUUGCCCUGCAGUCAGGGAUAACAGACGGAAACGACUGAUAAGACCUGGUAAAGUCAGGCGGACUCAUGUCCAGCCUGAUGAAAAGAGAUGCUGCAGGAGAGCCUUGCGUCCUAUUAGCUUGUUGGGGGGGUAACGGCCCACCAAGGCAAUGAUAGGUAGCCGGCCUGAGAGGGUGGACGGCCACAAGGGGACUGAGAUACGGCCCUUACUCCUACGGGAGGCAGCAGUGGGGAAUAUUGGACAAUGGGGGCAACCCUGAUCCAGCAAUUCUGUGUGCACGAUGAAGGUUUUCGGAUUGUAAAGUGCUUUCAGCAGGGAAGAAAAAAAUGACGGUACCUGCAGAAGAAGCGACGGCUAAAUACGUG
rnacentral:rRNA from 1 species